rnacentral:rRNA from 1 species
AGAGUUUGAUCGUGGCUCAGGACGAACGCUGGCGGCGUGCCUAAUACAUGCAAGUCGAGCGGACCUUUCGGGGUCAGCGGCGGACGGGUGAGUAACACGUGGGCAAUCUGCCCGAUACUCUGGGAUAACGCUUGGAAACGAGUGCUAAUACCGGAUGGUCUUCUUGGUCGCAUGGCCGAGAAGGAAAAGACGCGUUCGCGUCGGUGUCGGAUGAGCCCGCGGCGCAUUAGCUAGUUGGUGAGGUAACGGCCCACCAAGGCGACGAUGCGUAGCCGACCUGAGAGGGUGACCGGCCACACUGGGACUGAGACACGGNCCAGACUCCUACGGGAGGCAGCAGUAGGGAAUCUUCCACAA